GACGAACGCUGGCGGCGUGCUUAACACAUGCAAGUCGAACGCUGAAGCUCAGCUUGCUGGGUGGAUGAGUGGCGAACGGGUGAGUAACACGUGAGUAACCUGCCCUCUUCUUUGGGAUAACGCCCGGAAACGGGUGCUAAUACUGGAUAUUCACUGAUUCUCGCAUGGGGGUUGGUGGAAAGGUUUUUUCUGGUGGGGGAUGGGCUCGCGGGCUAUAAGCUUGGUGGUGGGGUGAUGGCCUACCAAGGCUUUGACGUGCAGCCGGCCUGGUGGGGUGACCGGUCACAUUGGGACUGUGAUACGGCCCAGACUGCUGCGGGAGGCAGCAAUGGGGAAUAUUGGACGAUGGGCGAAAGCCUGAAGCAGGGACGCCGCGUGAGGGAUGGAGGCCUUCGGGUUGUAAACCUCUUUCGCUAAUGGUCAAGCCGCAGCUUUGGGUUGUGGUGAGGGUAGUGGGUAAAGAAGCGCCGGCUAACUACGUG
rnacentral:rRNA from 1 species